rnacentral:rRNA from 1 species
AACGAACGCUGGCGGCAUGCCUAACACAUGCAAGUCGAACGAACCCUUCGGGGUUAGUGGCGCACGGGUGCGUAACGCGUGGGAAUCUGCCCUUUGCUUCGGAAUAACAGUUAGAAAUGACUGCUAAUACCGGAUGAUGUCUUCGGACCAAAGAUUUAUCGGCAAAGGAUGAGCCCGCGUAGGAUUAGGUAGUUGGUGGGGUAAAGGCCUACCAAGCCGACGAUCCUUAGCUGGUCUGAGAGGAUGAUCAGCCACACUGGGACUGAGACACGGCCCAGACUCCUACGGGAGGCAGCAGUGGGGAAUAUUGGACAAUGGGGGAAACCCUGAUCCAGCAAUGCCGCGUGAGUGAUGAAGGCCUUAGGGUUGUAAAGCUCUUUUACCAGGGAUGAUAAUGACAGUACCUGGAGGAUAAGCUCCGGCUAACUCCGUGCCAGCCGCCGCGGUAACAC